rnacentral:rRNA from 1 species
GACGAACGCUGGCGGCGUGCUUAACACAUGCAAGUCGAGCGAUGAAGUUCCUUCGGGAAUGGAUUAGCGGCGGACGGGUGAGUAACACGUGGGUAACCUGCCUCAUAGAGGGGAAUAGCCUUUCGAAAGGAAGAUUAAUACCGCAUAAGAUUGUAGUAUCGCAUGAUACAGCAAUUAAAGGAGUAAUCCGCUAUGAGAUGGACCCGCGUCGCAUUAGCUAGUUGGUGAGGUAACGGCUCACCAAGGCGACGAUGCGUAGCCGACCGGAGAGGGUGAUCGGCCACAUUGGGACUGAGACACGGCCCAGACUCCUACGGGAGGCAGCAGUGGGGAAUAUUGCACAAUGGGGGAAACCCUGAUGCAGCAACGCCGCGUGAGUGAUGACGGUCUUCGGAUUGUAAAACUCUGUCUUCAGGGACGAUAAUGACGGUACCUGAGGAGGAAGCCACGGCUAACUACGUGCCAGCAGCCGCGGUAAGAC